CAGUAGCCGCGGUAAUACAGAGGGUGCGAGCGUUAAUCGGAUUUACUGGGCGUAAAGCGUGCGUAGGCGGCUUCUUAAGUUGGAUGUGAAAUCCCUGAGCUUAACUUAGGAAUUGCAUUCGAUACUGGGAAGCUAGAGUAUGGGAGAGGAUGGUAGAAUUCCAGGUGUAGCGGUGAAAUGCGUAGAGAUCUGGAGGAAUACCGAUGGCGAAGGCAGCCAUCUGGCCUAAUACUGACGCUGAGGUACGAAAGCAUGGGGAGCAAACAGGAUUAGAUACCCGGGUAGUCCCUGUCUCUUAUAC
rnacentral:rRNA from 1 species